ensembl:snoRNA Small nucleolar RNA SNORD74
CCAUGCACAUAUGAGGAAAACCGUGUUGGUAGGGACAUCUGAGAAAGGGUGAUGAAUGCCAACGUUUCUGAUUUGCGUGG